UACGGGGGGGGCAAGCGUUGUUCGGAAUUACUGGGCGUAAAGAGCGCGCAGGCGGUCGUUCAAGUCGCGUGUGAAAGCCCCCGGCUCAACUGGGGAGGGUCACGCGAUACUGAUCGACUCGAAGGCAGGAGAGGGAAGUGGAAUUCCCGGUGUAGUGGUGAAAUGCGUAGAUAUCGGGAGGAACACCAGUGGCGAAGGCGACUUCCUGGUCUGUUCUUGACGCUGAGGCGCGAAAGCUAGGGGAGCAAACGGG
rnacentral:rRNA from 1 species